rnacentral:misc_RNA from 1 species
CCUGUAGAGAGCGGUAGUCUCGAAACAACGUGGUACAAUAAUUUCAUUUUCUUUCACAUCAAAAUCAGCUGUGAACAUCAGUAUGGCCGCUCCAUUAACUAUUAAAUAAAAUUGUUUUUGUAAUAUCAUCCAAUAUAAAAAAAUAGUAAAGUGCAGUUUUCGUACUUACACCGUAUAUUUGUAUAUUUGCGAACAGUGUUGAUGUUGACUAAAAGUGUUGCGUCAUGACAGAGACCUCUCACUGACAAACAAAUACAAUAAAAAUUGCGACUCGCUUUAUUGAAGCAACUUUGUAAUUUCUUUAGCUCGUGUGCCGUUUCAGUCGUUCGGUCGGUGGCCCAUGUUAUAUUUGAAGAAAAUUCGAUCGGUUUAUAAUGAGUAGUGUCAGGUUGAGUUUCGUGUCCGUGGGCAGGCUAGCUGUUAGAAGAAAUCCUCAGUUGACAUCAGGUGUCCAGUCAUGUCGUUCGCUGCGGCGCGCCUGCCCACGCACGCUGCACACCUGCGCGGUGAUGUGCAAGAGCCCCACCGAGCAGCCGCCAGGACCGCCGCACGCGCACACCGGCAAGGAUGCUGUUAACUCAGGCUCCACAUCAGGCGGCAAAAAGUCCGGCUCCGGGAACAACAACGGCGUCCUGACGUGUCCCAAAUGCGGCGACCCGUGCACCCACGUGGAGACGUUCGUUAGUUCCACCAGGUUCGUGAAGUGCGACAAAUGCCACCACUUCUUCGUGGUGCUCAGCGAGGUGGACACCAAGAAGAGCAUCAAGGAUAAUGCCGACACCAAGUCUGGAUUCUAUAGGAAACCCCCACCCCCGCCCAAGAAGAUAUUCGAAUACCUGAACAAGCACGUGGUGGGCCAGGAGUACGCGAAGAAAGUGUUGUCCGUGGCGGUGUACAACCAUUACAAGAGGAUCUACAACAACGUGACCAGCGGCACGCAGAGCGACGCGCAUCAUCCGCUACACCAUCCUCACAGAGAUCUGCUUCACCUGGGGCACGGGAGCGGCGGCGGCGGCGCCGAGGUACUAGAGCGGCAACAUCACGAGCUCAGACUGGACAAGAGUAAUGUCCUGCUGCUCGGACCUACGGGAUGCGGUAAGACCCUGCUCGCGCAGACGAUAGCUCAGUGCCUGGACGUUCCGUUCGCUAUCUGCGACUGCACCACGCUCACACAGGCCGGGUACGUGGGCGAGGACAUCGAGAGCGUCAUCGCCAAGCUGCUGCAGGACGCCAACUUCAACGUGGAGCGAGCACAGACUGGCAUCGUGUUCUUGGACGAGGUGGACAAAAUCGGCGCCGUGCCCGGGAUACACCAGCUCCGAGAUGUGGGGGGCGAGGGUGUGCAGCAGGGCAUGCUGAAGAUGCUGGAGGGCGCGGUGGUGUCGGUCCCGGAGAGGAACUCGCGCAAGCUGCGCGGCGACGCGGUGCAGGUCGACACCACCAACAUACUGUUCGUCGCCAGCGGAGCCUACAACGGCCUAGACAGACUGGUGCAGCGGCGCAGCAACGAGAAGUACCUCGGGUUCGGUGCGUGGAGCGCCACGGGCGAGCGCGCGGGGCGGCGCGCGGCGCUGCAGCACGCCGCGCAGGACGCCUCGCCGCUCGACUCCGCGCGCGCCGAGAACGACGAGCGCGACGCCUGGCUGCGCAAGGUGCAGGCGCGCGACCUCAUCGACUUCGGCAUGAUACCGGUAACUGUCCACUGUCUAGCCGCGCAGCACGCCGCGCAGGACGCCUCGCCGCUCGACUCCGCGCGCGCCGAGAACGACGAGCGCGACGCCUGGCUGCGCAAGGUGCAGGCGCGCGACCUCAUCGACUUCGGCAUGAUACCGGUAACUGUCCACUGUCUAGCCGCGCAGCACGCCGCGCAGGACGCCUCGCCGCUCGACUCCGCGCGCGCCGAGAACGACGAGCGCGACGCCUGGCUGCGCAAGGUGCAGGCGCGCGACCUCAUCGACUUCGGCAUGAUACCGGUAACUGUCCACUGUCUAGCCGCGCAGCACGCCGCGCAGGACGCCUCGCCGCUCGACUCCGCGCGCGCCGAGAACGACGAGCGCGACGCCUGGCUGCGCAAGGUGCAGGCGCGCGACCUCAUCGACUUCGGCAUGAUACCGGUAACUGUCCACUGUCUAGCCGCGCAGCACGCCGCGCAGGACGCCUCGCCGCUCGACUCCGCGCGCGCCGAGAACGACGAGCGCGACGCCUGGCUGCGCAAGGUGCAGGCGCGCGACCUCAUCGACUUCGGCAUGAUACCGGUAACUGUCCACUGUCUAGCCGCGCAGCACGCCGCGCAGGACGCCUCGCCGCUCGACUCCGCGCGCGCCGAGAACGACGAGCGCGACGCCUGGCUGCGCAAGGUGCAGGCGCGCGACCUCAUCGACUUCGGCAUGAUACCGGUAACUGUCCACUGUCUAGCCGCGCAGCACGCCGCGCAGGACGCCUCGCCGCUCGACUCCGCGCGCGCCGAGAACGACGAGCGCGACGCCUGGCUGCGCAAGGUGCAGGCGCGCGACCUCAUCGACUUCGGCAUGAUACCGGAAUUCGUCGGCAGAUUCCCUGUGCUCGUUCCAUUCCACAGUUUGAACGAGGACCUACUCGUCAGGAUACUCACAGAACCUAAGAAUGCUAUGGUAUCACAAUACAAGCUGCUGUUCGCGAUGGACAAGUGCGAGUUGUCGUUCAGCGACGAGGCGCUGAAGGCGGUCGCGGCGCUCGCCAUGGAGCGCAAGACCGGCGCCCGGGGGCUCAGGGCCAUCAUGGAGGGUCUGCUGCUGGAGGUGAUGUUCGAGAUCCCCGGGUCGGACGUGUGCGGCGUGCACAUCCACGAGGGCUGCGUGUCGCUGGGCGAGGCGCCGCGCGUGUCGCGCCGCCGCGAGCCGCGCCGCCACGACGCCGCCGCCACCGCCGCCGACAGCGCCGACGCGCCGCUGCACGACUGGCCCUCGGUGCGCCUGCACAACUAACACAUGCAUUAAUACUGAAGUGUGGCCGCGCGAAAACGGAUACACUUUAUAGUUUAAACACAUCAGUUUCACAACCAUCUGUCACUCAGUCACGUGCGCUGUGAGCGGCUACAAGUAUGGUGCUUACAAACAAACAAACAAACAGACAGGCAAACGAACGAACACAAGCAGACGCGGACGCUCGGAGCGUCAACCAUGCUGGGGACACGACGCCGAGGGAAAGGAUGAGAGUUUAUUUAAAAAAUUAAAUGUUAUUUAAAAAAUUACGAUUACAAAUAUUUGUGUUCAUGGAAAUUUUAAAAAUUAACACGACUCUGAAACGGGUCGAUAAAUUGUAGAUUUUUUUUUAAAUAUUGUCUUUGUUUUGAUAUAGACUCGGUCUUUAAACUCAUGAUGCCGAGAUGAUUUCUCAUGCCAAUUAUCAAUAGCUUGCAAGCAAAUCUUGCCACACAGACUGUUCUAGACAUCCGUUUAAUCUAGGCUAUUUAGAUUCAAUGUUGUGUGACGUCCAUUUUAAAACAACGGUAUUACAAAUAUUUGAUGGCUGAAUCAAAAGUUUCACGAUGUUCUAUGUUAAAAAUAUAUUGGAUCAGUAAAAAUGUAAUUGAUUUUGAUAGAUUGAUAUUGAAAGGUGCCAAUUCCGAUGGAAGUUGAACUGAUAUACCCCAAUACUAGCCUGUUAAUAAAUAGAGCUAUAUUGUAUGAGAUACAUAAUUGGGGUAACGGACAAAAGCCGCUGACAGCGACAAAAAAAAGUAAAAAAUAUAAAAAAUCAUCAAACUACGAGAAAUCUUAGCAAUAUUCAAUGAAAAUUGGUCAAGUUGUAGAAGAAAUCACGACUUAAUAGUCUUGAUACUAGUUCCUCGAGUUAGUUUAUUGACAAACAAAAUGUUGUACAACAUCAUACAACAUUGCUCUUGUGAUGUAAAUUACUGUAAAUAUUAAAAUAAUAAUAGAAACAUUAAGGUCUAAUAUUAGGACACGUUUUUUUCUGCUAUGUCCAACUAAGUUGUAAGUACGAAAAUUUACACCCAAUGUUGCUAGAUGAAAAAAUAGUUUUUUUUUUAAUAUUUCGGCCGGCAACGUUUGAAUAUUUUGUUAUUAUUAUAUUUUUUUAUUUAUAAACGGCGGUUGUAGUGUGUUUAUAAAAGUCUCGACAACGCGCCCUCGGGAUGAUGUGAUAUGCCUUCGGAGCUGAUAAUCACAUUACAACUAUAUAAAUUAGUUUAAGCCUAUUUUCAAUUAAAAAUGUAAUGAAAAACUA